rnacentral:rRNA from 1 species
UACGUAGGGGGCAAGCGUUGUCCGGAAUCAUUGGGCGUAAAGCGCGUGUAGGCGGUUCGGUAAGUCGGCUGUGAAAGCCCAGGGCUCAACCCUGGGAUGCCGGUCGAUACUGCCGGACUAGAGUUCGGAAGAGGCGAGUGGAAUUCCCGGUGUAGCGGUGAAAUGCGCAGAUAUCGGGAGGAACACCAAUGGCGAAGGCAGCUCGCUGGGACGUUACUGACGCUGAGACGCGAAAGCGUGGGGAGCAAACAGG